GCCCCUUCUGCUAGCUAGCUAAACCCUUGUGGUGUUAGCUGGAACUUUCUAGAAGCAUCCAUGUCCCAGACAGAGUAAAGACUGGUGGAAAAAGUGGGGAAAAGGGGUUGUUGGAACAGCUUGCCACCAGCCAUCAGCCACGCCAGGCUUACGCAGGGGGCAGCCCUCAGUGUCAGGGAUCCUGAGGUGGCAAAGGCCGACCCUGGUGCAGGGGUGGACUAUCCAGUACCUGGCCUGGACUACUUACAGUCGACCAACCCAGGAGUGGCAAGAGCACGGAAGGAUUCCCCCAGCGUCCCAGGUGCCAGAGUGUGUGUUCAGUGAAGGGUGAGGACCAUCUGCCGGGGCUGGGUGAAAUCAGUGCAACAUGCAGGUGCUGGGGUAUUUACCCCAGCACGCAAGAUCACUAGCAGUCCUCCAGCCCCGGCCCCCGUCCUGAUGAUGUAAUUAUUUCCCAGUGGCACCUGGGAGCCACGGCCGCCAUUCGGAGGCAUCGCUCACAGCCAAGUAUGCAGAUGUUUCUAAUUGCUUUCCAUUACCAAGAAUAACAGCUGUUUAUAUCUAUCAGCAAAUAAUUCACAAGAGUUCCAGACUGUUAGGAUAACAUAUCCCACCUGGUCACCAUCACCAGUUGUCAACAGCCGAGGGCUGCGCUUGCCAGGCCUCUUGUUUACCGAAUCCCCCGAUAAAAUCGGGCUUAGAGUCACCUUCAGCCAUCUUGCUUUGCACCUCCCAGGAUUUCCUAUUUUAUCUUACAAGUCAAUCUUUAAUUAUCAUCUCAAAAGAAGACGGAAAAUUACAUUUUGUUUUUGUCAUGAUAUCCUGUGCUGUUAUUGUGCCCAGCUAUAUCAAAUAUGCAUUUCACACUAUACCCUUAAAGCUCUACUAAUUAGUAGCAAGUAUUUGAAUGACUACAUGUAAGUGGAAAAGUGUCACUUAAACCCCCCAGAGUUUAUGGAGAUUAAACCAUAGCAACAAGGAGUGAAUAUUGCACUUGCAUUCAACUCCAAAGUAAUGCUUACUGUAUGUUACUCUGUGUCUGUUUGAUGAGUUUAUAGACAACUGUUUGCUAAGUUGUCAUAUGUUUCCUAAUUUCAUAUGUCAGGGUUGUGUGUUACUCAAAACAAUCUUAAAAAUUUGUAAAUAAAUAGAGCUUUUGAACCUAAAACUGUUGUCAGGGUAGUCAGGGCCUUUUUGCAUAGAAGCUUAAAAAGCUAAUUCUUCCUUUGGGAUUGUUUGUAAUUUUAGGGCAUGAGUUACUAAUUUAAGAGACAGAUAUUGUGGUUUUCUGGUGUUUAUAGUCUUAAAAUGUAA